CAUUGCUGCCGGCCCAGUAGUGAUGGGAGUGAGCGCGGGACUUCUCCUUUUGUAUUUAUAGCCAGUGGUUGGGGGACACUUCCUUUGAUGGCAGCUGGGCCAUUCCUCAGUCAAGUUCAAUAAUUAAAGGGACACUAUAGUCACAUGAACAACUUUAGCUUAAUGAAGCAGUUUUGGUGUAUAGAACAUCCCCCUGCAGCCCCACUGCUCAAUCCUCUGCCAUUUAGGAGUUAAAUCCUUUUGUUUAUGAACACUAGUCACACCUCCCUGCAUGUGACUUGCACAGCCUUCCAUAAACACUUCCUGUAAAGAGAGCCCUAUUUAGGCUUUCUUUAUUGCAAGUUCUGUUUAAUUAAGAUUUUCUUAUCCCCUGCUAUGUUAAUAGCUUGCUAGACCCUGCAAGAGCCUCCUAUAUGUGAUUAAAGUUCAAUUUAGAGAUUGAGAUACAAUUAUUUAAGGUAAAUUACAUCUGUUUGAAAGUGAAACCAGUUGUUUUUUUUCAUGCAGGCUCUAUCAAUCAUAGCCAGGGGAGGUG